AAGACUGCUGACUUGACGCCCUGCUCCUCCAGCACGUGCGGCCUCCUUCGAGGGCUUGUGUGGGCAGAAAUCUCAAACAGGUUGCCUAGCACAGCAGGAAAAUAAAAGAAAUACAGUUCUCUGAGCAGAAGCCAGGUUCAAAGAAGGAUUAAGUGGAGCACAGAGACAAUGGAAGUAAAUGCCGUUUGUACCAUACCACGGAUGAUAAAUCUGUUGAUCCAGACAAGAUAAUACACCGCCAGAUCGCGAUGAUUGGGGUGCAGGCUACCCGCCUCUGCUUCUUUUCACAGAGCACACUUCAUAUGUCGCAGGAGGCCUGUAUGUUGAGACAAGGGGCAAAUUGAUCAUUCAAGUAAUGAAGCUGCAAGCCUGAGGAGAUGCCCCAACCCCUGGGGAUGAACGAUGACUUCAGUUACCAUUGCAUUCUCAGCAUUCAGGAAGUGGGAGAAAGAGGGCAACGCAGUUAUAGUCUCAAAGAUCUAAAUGCCACGUCGUAGUGUGGGAGAAUUGGUAAGGGGGUUCUCUGGUCUUAUCCUGAGCCAAGCUAGUCCCCAGUGGCUUUCCACUAUGAGCACAGGUGCAUCAAAAAAUGUUGAUCAAAAUAAUGCCUGUUUAUUGGUUCUUCUGUAACUAAGUUUGACCACCCUGGGAGAAAGGUGGGUUGGUAUACACUCAAGGAGUGAUCAUUGGCGAGAUUCUGUCUCAUCUUCCUUUCUGCAGCCACGGUAGUGGGUGUAUCUGGUUGCUGCCAUAUUCUGUAGCAUGUAUCACACCAGAAAAAUCCUGCUUGCCUUACUAGGAGACGCCUGAAGCAUUGAGGCACCUGAACCGGCCGUCCAAAGGUUCUUUCCACAAUGCUGCUGGAGAUUAACUGCAUUGCCCAUAAGUACUUGUGCACUGAACCUAGAAAUUAUGCACAUGUGCUAUGGACUUUCAUGUGUGCAUUACACACAACUUGAAUGUUCAUAAUCUGUGUACUAUUUCAGGUUGUGUACACUUGCUCUUGGUAACAAGUAUACAGUCGAUGGCUCCGGUCACAUUCGGAAAGGCAAUCUGGUAGUACCCUGCUUUUACACAUCCCUUCUCAUUUGGG